AAAGAAAUAUUCUUAAAAAAGCUUCUAACUUUUAUAAAAGCAUUAAAUUGUUUAU
rnacentral:tRNA from 2 species